AGCUUUCCCAAAUGUAAAACUCUUAAAAGCAAAAUUGAAUAAUGUUUCGCCCGACCAUGGAUCUACGGUAGCCGUGGUUGUUGUCCGUGUUUGAAUGGCGUGAAAAAAUAUUGUCGCAGAUUUGUUAUGUCUGUUGCAUUCUUUUAAUUCACACCGUCCAAAAAAAUCGGACGGAACCAAACAUGCGGGCAAAAAUGCUGUUUAUUUUCACCCACCUAUAAAUAUUGCGUAGUCGCUUCCAUAGAAAAUGUAGUAUAAAAAUGUAGUAGAGGAACAAGUAUACUAGAAACAAGAGGACCUGAUCGUUGUGGUUUUCAUUCCCCCGACUAAUACCUUAAAAAAGC
rnacentral:lncRNA from 1 species